rnacentral:rRNA from 1 species
AGAACGAACGCUGGCGGCAUGCCUAAUACAUGCAAGUCGAACGAACACUUCGGUGUUAGUGGCGCACGGGUGCGUAACGCGUGGGAAUCUGCCCUUGGGUUCGGAAUAACAGUUGGAAACGACUGCUAAUACCGGAUGAUGACGAAAGUCCAAAGAUUUAUCGCCCAGGGAUGAGCCCGCGUAGGAUUAGCUAGUUGGUGAGGUAAAGGCUCACCAAGGCGACGAUCCUUAGCUGGUCUGAGAGGAUGAUCAGCCACACUGGGACUGAGACACGGCCCAGACCUCCGUACGGGAGCAGCAGUAGGGAAUA